UACGUAGGGCGCAAGCGUUUGUCCGGAAUUAUUGGGCGUAAAGAGCUCGUAGGCGGUUUGUCGCGUCUGCUGUGAAAUCCUCAGGCUCAACCUGGGGCUUGCAGUGGGUACGGGCAGACUAGAGUCCGGAAGAGGAGAAUGGAAUUCCUGGUGUAGCGGUGAAAUGCGCAGAUAUCAGGAAGAACACCCGGUGGCGAAGGCGGUUCUCUGGGACGGUACUGACGCUGAGGAGCGAAAGCGUGGGUAGCGAACAGG
rnacentral:rRNA from 1 species